GACGAACGCUGGCGGCGUGCUUAACACAUGCAAGUCGAACGGAAAGGCCCUGCUUUUGUGGGGGGCUCGAGUGGCGAACGGGUGAGUAACACGGGAGUAACCUGCCCUGGACUUUGGGAUAACUUCAGGAAACUGGGGCUAAUACCGGAUAGGAGCGCCUGCUGCAUGGUGGGGGUUGGAAAUUUUAGGCGGUUGGGGAUGGACUCGCGGCUUAUCAGCUUGUUGGUGGGGUAGUGGCUUACCAAGGCUUUGACGGGUAGCCGGCCUGGGAGGGUGACCGGCCACAUUGGGACUGCGAUACGGCCCAGACUCCUACGGGAGGCAGCAGUGGGGAAUAUUGCACAAUGGGCGGAAGCCUGAUGCAGCAACGCCGCGUGCGGGAUGACGGCCUUCGGGUUGUAAACCGCUUUCGCCUGUGACGAAGCGUGAGUGACGGUAAUGGGUAAAGAAGCACCGGCUAACUACGUG
rnacentral:rRNA from 1 species